rnacentral:rRNA from 1 species
UAGGGAAUCUUCGGCAAUGGGGGCGAACCCUCGACCGAGCAACGCCGCGUGAGUGAAGAAGGUUUUCGGAUCGUAAAGCUCUGUUGUUAAAGAAGAACACGUAUGAGAGUAACUGUUCAUACGUUGACGGUAUUUAACCAGAAAGUCACGGCUAACUACGUGCCAG